CCCGUCACGCCAUGGGAGCUGUGAGCGCCCGAAGUCCGUGUCGCAACUCGAAAGAGGGCAAGCGGCCGAAGGCGAGCGCAGUGACUGGGGCG
rnacentral:rRNA from 1 species